UGCGCCUUGCCAGCCCGCUCAGAAACUCAAAGGAAUUGACGGGGGCCCGCACAAGCGGAGGAGCAUGUGGUUUAAUUCGAUGAUACGCGAGGAACCUUACCUGGGCUCGAACGUAAGAUGACUGUAGGUGAAAGCUUACAUCUCUUCGGAGCAUUUUACGAGGUGCUGCAUGGUUGUCGUCAGCUCGUGCCGUGAGGUGUCGGGUUAAGUCCCAUAACGAGCGCAACCCCUGUCCUUAGUUACCAGCACGUUAUGGUGGGCACUCUAAGGAGACUGCCGGUGACAAACCGGAGGAAGGUGGGGAUGACGUCAAGUCAUCAUGGCCCUUACGGCCUGGGCUACACACGUGCUACAAUGGUCGGUACAAAGGGUUGCCAAGCCGCGAGGUGGAGCUAAUCCCAUAAAACCGAUCGUAGUCCGGAUCGCAGUCUGCAACUCGACUGCGUGAAGUCGGAAUCGCUAGUAAUCGUGAAUCAGAAUGUCACGGUGAAUACGUUCCCGGGCCUU
rnacentral:rRNA from 1 species